rnacentral:rRNA from 1 species
AGUGAACGCUGGCGGUAGGCCUAACACAUGCAAGUCGAACGGCAACACAGUAAGAGCUUGCUCUUACGGGUGGCGAGUGGAGGACGGGUGAGGAAUACAUCGGAAUCUACUUUUUCGUGGGGGGUAACGUAGGGAAACUUACGCUAAUACCGCAUACUACCUACGGGUGAAAGCAGGGGAUCUUCGGACCUCGCGCGUUUGAAUGAGCCGAUGUCGGAUUAGCUAGUUGGCGGGGUAAAGGCCCACCAAGGCGACGAUCCGUAGCUGGUCUGAGAGGAUGAUCAGCCACACUGGAACUGAGACACGGUCCAGACUCCUACGGGAGGCAGCAGUGGGGAAUAUUGGACAAUGGGCGCAAGCCUGAUCCAGCCAUACCGCGUGGGUGAAGAAGGCCUUCGGGUUGUAAAGCCCUUUUGUUGGGAAAGAAAAGCAGCAGGUUAAUACCCCGCUGUUCUGACGGUACCCAAAGAAUAAGCACCGGCUAACUUCGUG